UCCCCCUCCCCUCACUGCGUACGCGCCUGGUGAUGAAGAUAUAAAUAAAGAAAUAUUAGAGUUCAAGAAGAAAGAAAGGAUCGGGAGACGGAAAGAUGGCAGCCGCAGGUAAAAAGGGCGACUAAAUAAAUACGAAAAUGCAUUGAAAAGGGAAAAGUCAAACCAACGUGAAGGCAAAGAUAGAUCCACAACUUCACUUCACUCAUUCUGGACAUUUCAUUACUAUCUGUUAUUUAUUUGAGAAACCAACUACAACUACCAACUACGAGUGAGCCAUCACUCAUCACGUGGUCUUGGUCGAUGAUACAUAAUGCGGACAUAAUCCAAUCUUAUCAAAAUGCUAAUGUCUCCCCCUUGUUCAGCUCCGAUCCCUUCUUGGCGGCCAAGCCCUUUCAUGUUUGCGCGCUCUCCAUCAGACAUUCCCCUCUCUUUCUCUCUCUCUCUAUUGCGCUGUCUGUUUCGUGAAGUUAUCCCCUCCCCCCCCCCCCCCUGAAAAGAUAAGCGUGGGAAAACCUCUCUCUCGCUCUCUUCUCUGUCACAUUCACUUGAGGUCAUUCAAUCGGCCCAUAAAUGGCUUUGUUUUUGUUUACAUUAGCUCAGAGGCGGCUUCAUAAGUCAUGAAUGAACUGACUAGUAUCUCUUCAGACUUUCUAUCAAUUGCUUUGGUGUCUCGAAGUCGACGGGUGUAUAUGUCAUUUUGAGACAGAGAAUUUAUUUUACUCCAAUAUAAAGUAAAAGACGAAGAAAUUUGAGUACUGCAAUUUUUGUGAAAAUAAGAAAAUGCAAUAUUGUUUUUAAUAUAAGGAAAAUAAUUACAGCUUUAAAUACAUGACUUGGUCUAGCUCGAUAAAAAUCCAAACAACUAUGAUCAUAUACAUUUUUUUUUCUUCGUAACAUUGGAUAACAAAUUUCACAAAUUCCAACAUACUAUAAAUAUUGAUUAUUUAGUGCAAGGGUAAAUAUGACAAUGACUCGGAACAUAAUACAGGGAUAACAAUUAAUCAAAUUACUCGUAAUACUUGUAAACGUUUUUUUUAAUUAUUUUUUAUAAUUUUUUUUUCUUCAGGGGGGCGGGGUCAAAUUUUCCCUCGUGUCGCGCCACGCCUUUUUAAUUUCUUGGCGAGAGGCCUGAUUAUGCAUAGA